GCCGGGGUGCGCGAGGAGCGCAAGCUGAAAAAGCUUGUCGUGAAGGCGCGGUUCCAGUGGAGGUUCGACUCCUCCCUCCGGCA
rnacentral:tRNA from 2 species